UGGGGCUGCCUCAGGGCUGGGCCCAGGGCCCCGAGGUCCUAGGGACAUCGCUUUCUGUUUAUUUUCUGCCUGGCUUCUGCACGCACUGUGGUUUCCACUUGGAAGUUCUGCAGUGGGAACUGUGGGGCCUGCUCUGGGGGCUGAGCUGCUUCUGUGGGAAAGUUUGGGUUCUGCCGACAGCUCACAGCCGCCGCCAAGACCCUAGUCCCAGAAUUCCCACGCCGUGGGCCAUGGGCUCUGCUCCUGCAGCCUCUGUAUCACCUGGGCCGGCAACCCUAUGAAGGAGGGCUGUUACUAAUCCCAUGUUGCAGCUGGAAAAAUGAGGCACAGAGAGGUCAAGUAACUUACCCACAGCCACACAGCUGACACAGUGGAGCUCGGCAGCCAUCUUGGACCACGAGGUGACCCUGCGGAAAGCAGGGCUGAGGAUGAAGCCAGCAGAGAGAGAAGGAGCCUGGGAUACUGAGGACAUGGUGGAGCCAUCACACCAACCCUGGGCCACUGACCUCCAGAUAUGGAAGAGUAUUCGACACAACUAAUCUGUUUAGGUCAUUAAAAUUGGGUCUCUGGUA